GAGCCAGGCGGCGGGGACUAGAAAGAUGGUGAACUAGACCUGAGCGGGGCGAAGCCAGAGGAAACUCUGGUGGAGGCUCGAAGCGAUACUGACGUGCAAAUCGUUCGUCUGACUUGGGUAUAGGGGCGAAAGACUAAUCGAACCAUCUAGUAGCUGGUUCCCUCCGAAGUUUCCCUCAGACUAGCUGGAGCCCAUUACGAGUUCUAUCAGGUAAAGCCAAUGAUUAGAGGCAUUGGGGACGCAACGUCCUCGACCUAUUCUCAAACUUUAAAUAGGUAGGAUGGCUCGGCUGCUUCGGUGAGCCG
rfam:Hordeum vulgare subsp. vulgare, WGS project CAJW01000000 data, contig: morex_contig_1483307